rnacentral:rRNA from 1 species
AUUGAACGCUGGCGGCAGGCCUAACACAUGCAAGUCGAGCGGCAGCGGGAAAGUAGCUUGCUACUUUUGCCGGCGAGCGGCGGACGGGUGAGUAAUGCCUGGGAAAUUGCCCAGUCGAGGGGGAUAACAGUUGGAAACGACUGCUAAUACCGCAUACGCCCUACGGGGGAAAGCAGGGGACCUUCGGGCCUUGCACGAUUGGAUAUGCCCAGGUGGGAUUAGCUAGUUGGUGAGGUAAUGGCUCACCAAGGCGACGAUCCCUAGCUGGUCUGAGAGGAUGCUCCGCCACACGGGAACUGAGACACGGUCCAGACUCCUACGGGAGGCAGCAGUGGGGAAUAUUGCACAAUGGGGGAAACCCUGAUGCAGCCAUGCCGCGUGUGUGAAGAAGGCCUUCGGGUUGUAAAGCACUUUCAGCGAGGAGGAAAGGUUGAUGCCUAAUACGUAUCAACUGUGACGUUACUCGCAGAAGAAGCACCGGCUAACUCCGUGCCAGCAGCCGCAGUAA